UACGAAGGGGGCUAGCGUUGCUCGGAAUUACUGGGCGUAAAGCGCACGUAGGCGGCUUUCUAAGUCGGGGGUGAAAUCCUGGAGCUCAACUCCAGAACUGCCUUCGAUACUGGAGAGCUUGAGUCCGGGAGAGGUGAGUGGAACUGCGAGUGUAGAGGUGAAAUUCGUAGAUAUUCGCAAGAACACCAGUGGCGAAGGCGGCUCACUGGCCCGGUACUGACGCUGAGGUGCGAAAAGCGUGGGGAGCAAACAGG
rnacentral:rRNA from 1 species